UCCUGGGUGGCUCAGUCAGUUGAGCACCCAACUUCAGCUCAGGUCAUGAUUUCAUGGCUUGUGGGUUCAAGCCCCACCUCGGGCU
rnacentral:tRNA from 1 species